rnacentral:rRNA from 1 species
AGUGAACGCUGGCGGUAGGCCUAACACAUGCAAGUCGAACGGCAGCACAGGAGAGCUUGCUCUCUGGGUGGCGAGUGGCGGACGGAUGAGGAAUACAUCGGAAUCUACUUUUUCGUGGGGGAUAACGUAGGGAAACUUACGCUAAUACCGCAUACGACCUACGGGUGAAAGCAGGGGACCUUCGGGCCUUGCGCGAUUGAAUGAGCCGAUGUCGGAUUAGCUAGUUGGCGGGGUAAAGGCCCACCAAGGCGACGAUCCGUAGCUGGUCUGAGAGGAUGAUCAGCCACACUGGAACUGAGACACGGUCCAGACUCCUACGGGAGGCAGCAGUGGGGAAUAUUGGACAAUGGGCGCAAGCCUGAUCCAGCCAUACCGCGUGGGUGAAGAAGGCCUUCGGGUUGUAAAGCCCUUUUGCUGGGAAAGAAAUCCAGCUGGUUAAUACCCGGUUGGGAUGACGGUACCCAAAGAAUAAGCACCGGCUAACUUCGUGCCAGCAGCCGCGGUAA